UCUAAUAUGGCAGAUUAGUGCAAUGAACUUAAACUUCAUAUAUAAAGAUCAAUAUCUUUUAUUAGAA
rnacentral:tRNA from 1 species